GACGAACGCUGGCGGCGUGCUUAACACAUGCAAGUCGAACGGAAAGGCCCUUCGGGGUACUCGCGUGGCGAACGGGUGAGUAACACGUUGGUGAUCUGCCCUCCUCUUUGGGAUACUCCUGUGACACUGGGUCUACUACCCAAUUAGACCACACGCUUCUUAGCGUGUGGUGGCAAGCUUUUGCGGUGUGGGAUGGGCCCGCGGCCUAUCAGCUCGUUGGUGGAGUACUGGCAUACCAAGGCGACGACGGGUAGCCGACCUGAGAGGGUGACCGGCGACACUGGGACUGAGAGACGGACCAGACUCCUACGUGAGGCAGCAGUGGGGAAUAUUGCACAAUGGGGGCAAGCCUGAGGCAGCGACGUCGCGUGCGGGAUGACGGCCUUCGGGUUGUAAACAUCUUUCAAUAGGGACGAAGCGAAAGUGACGGUACCUAUAGAAGAAGCACCGGCCAACUACGUG
rnacentral:rRNA from 1 species